rnacentral:rRNA from 1 species
UACGUAGGGGGCAAGCGUUGUCCGGAAUCAUUGGGCGUAAAGAGCGUGUAGGCGGACUGGAAGGUCUGGUGUGAAAGCCCGGGGCUCAACCCCGGAGGGUCACUGGAAACCAACAGUCUUGAGUCCGGAAGAGGAGAGUGGAAUUCCUGGUGUAGCGGUGGAAUGCGCAGAUAUCAGGAGGAACACCUAUGGCGAAGGCAGCUCGCUGGUACGUGACUGACGCUGAGACACGAAAGCGUGGGGAGCUAACAGG